GAGAAAGCAUAUGAUUAUUUGUCAAUCGGGGACGCCUGGCAAAUGUUCCUCUUCUCCUGCGACCAAGAACUCGCGGUAUAUAUCAUGGAGACUGAUGUUAAACUUGCACUUACCACAUCUAUGUGUCAUUUGGCCCUUGCUGUGGCUCUGCUGAGUUUGAACUUGAAAAGGUGUGCUCAGUAAGGAAACCUCAUGCUUUAAAAAGUGCUUCAUAGUGUGUGGAAGGAUACAUCCACGUAAAAGCUGUAUUGUGGAGCCUGAACAAUUACAUAUGUUAUCUUUUGGAAUGCAGGAUUAUCCCAAGUGGCAAAUGAAGAGUGGGUCUGUAUAUUUUCAAUGGAAAUGGAUAAUGACAGUCAAUGCACGAGGGUGUGAAUUUGAAUCUGUUUGCUGCAUCUUCAUUGUAACAGGUGAAGAUACUCUAAACAUUAGUAUGAUGGAUUUUCCAGUUGCCUUCUUCAGUUUCCAUUUCUCAGGAAGCUUCCAAUUAUGAUGAGCUCUCCAUGAAACAGAGAGCUUGAACAUCCGAAUAGCUGAAGUACCCAUCGGAACCAGAUGAUCCACUUCAAUAUAUACUCAUGCUGAGAGGAAUAGGAGAACUGAUAUCGAGCUUUAUUCAUGCAAAAACAAACGUCUCUUCAAGGCCUUGCUUAGCAUGCGGAAGUCAAGAAAGGACAGCAAGUUAUCGAAGUUCCUGGACGAGCGCUAAGAAGAACAGGGGAUGAAAGAAAACGGAUAGGCCCAUUAUCACGGUUUCUUUGCACCGCAAGUAUGACCUAUGCUGUAUUUGUUAUGGUAACUUAA